rnacentral:rRNA from 1 species
GUGCCAGCCGCCGCGGUAAUACGAAGGGGGCUAGCGUUGUUCGGAAUUACUGGGCGUAAAGCGUGCGCAGGCGGCUUCUCAAGUCAGGGGUGAAAGCCCAGAGCUCAACUCUGGAAUUGCCUUUGAGACUGAGUGGCUUGAGUACGAGAGAGGUGAGUGGAAUUCCCAGUGUAGAGGUGAAAUUCGUAGAUAUUGGGAAGAACACCGGUGGCGAAGGCGGCUCACUGGCUCGUAACUGACGCUCAUGCACGACAGCGUGGGGAUCAAACAGGAUUAGAUACCCCGGUAGUCC